AUGAGGUGGAUCCUGGCUGCGUCUCAAUUCGCAGGCUGCGUACUUCCGAGGACGCAGCCUACCUAGCCUCCGGAGGACCCAGACUUGGUAGGCUGCUCCGGAGGAUCCUCAGCCGUUGGUAAAUGGGACGGUCUAGCCUUUGGAGCACUUCCUGGUUGCGACACGACGUCAUCACGUUUACCCCAAACACAGCGCGAAACAAAAUCCGACAGCUCGAGAAAUACGGAAAGAAACAACAAAAAAAUAGAUAUGGAAAUUUUUAUUUUUUUUAUUUACUUGUUAUUGGAGGAGGAGAGUCGCUUUGACGGCUUCGGCGGAAGCAAAACCUGCGACAGAUUUUUCUCAGGCUGGCAGAGCGCAGUGGAGAGGUCAUAACAGCCCCAGAGGAUGAAGAGCAGGACGACAUGCCAGAGGAUGAAGAGGGGGAG